AACUGCUAAUACCUGAUAAAGCCUACGCCCUCCUCGGAGGAAGUAGGAAAAGGUGGGGACCUUCGGGCCUGCCGUUGUUGGAUGAGUCCGCGGCCCAUUAGCUAGUUGGUAGGGUAAUGGCCUACCAAGGCUACGAUGGGUAGCUGGUCUGAGAGGAUGAUCAGCCACACUGGAACUGAGACACGGUCCAG
rnacentral:rRNA from 1 species